AGCGGCGGACGGGUGAGUAAUACAUCGGAACGUGUCCUUUCGUGGGGGAUAACGCGUCGAAAGACGGGCUAAUACCGCAUGAGAUCUCACGAUGAAAGCGGGGGACCGCAAGGCCUUGCGCGAUUGGAGCGGCCGAUGGCGGAUUAGGUAGUUGGUGAGGUAAGGCUCACCAAGGCUGCGAUCUGUAGCUGGUCUGAGAGGACGACCAGCCACACUGGGACUGAGACACGGCCCAGACUCCUACGGGAGGCAGCAGUGGGGAAUUUUGGACAAUGGGCGCAAGCCUGAUCCAGCCAUGCCGCGUGUGUGAUGAAGGCCUUCGGGUUGUAAACUGCUUUUGUACGGAACGAAAUCGUCUUCUCUAAUAGCGAAGGUGGAUGACGGUACCGGAAGAAGAAGCACCGGCUAACUACGUGCCAGCAGCCGCGGUAAUACGUAGGGUGCGAGCGUUAAUCGGAAUUACUGGGCGUAAAGGGUGCGCAGGCGGUGAUGUAAGACAGUUGUGAAAUCCCCGGGCUCAACCUGGGGAACUGCAUCUGUGACUGCAUCGCUGGAGUGUGGCAGAGGGAGAUGGAAUUCCGCGUGUAGCGGUGAAAUGCGUAGAUAUGUGGAGGAACACCGAUGGCGAAGGCAAUCCCCUGGGCCUGUACUGACGCUCAUGCACGAAAGCGUGGGGGAGCAAACAGGAUUAGAUACCCUGGUAGUCCACGCCCU
rnacentral:rRNA from 1 species